rnacentral:lncRNA from 1 species
AGGCCCCGCUUCACGUGGGUGUCCUCAGCCAGGAAGAGAUGAGCCUCUUCCCUGCCCGGGUGCUGGGCACUUGGUCUGCCCCAGGUAACCCAGGGGGUGGUUAGUGGCAGAGCUGGGGCCAGCCCAGGAUCUGGACUCUUUAAGGGGGCCUCUGCUGUGCUGCUUGCCCAGGCUUGCAUGCUCUGAGGAACAGGCAGCACCCCGUGGGCAUGUCAGUUGCCCAGGGCUGGGCCCAGGCCUGGACGAGGGGCCAGGCGACCCUUGGUGCCGGGUAAGCAGAGCCCGGGUCUUCAGAGAUGGGCUUGUGACCAACACUAAGAUGGCAUUAAGGCAGCUCUCCCGUGGUCGACCUGCCUGACACAGCUCCUUCUGGGCCACACUUACCCCCGCAAGCCCUGUGGUCCCGUGCCUAUGGAGGGUGGUGAGGGCCCCGCCAGGGCUCCGAGGCCCGAGGUGAGAAGCCAGCGGGGCUCCAGGCCUGAGGGAGGGCGGAGCUGCUGCACCUGCAGGCUGGCAGAGCGAGCCUGGGUUUGGGGCCAGCACUGGGGAGGGUUUGUCUCCUUGAAGGUACUUGGUCGGUAGUCACAGGAGGUGGGGUGGGGCCGGGGAGCCGCGUGGGACCUCGGGAGGCCCUGUGGCUUUGGACCAAGGAUGGGCCUGAGGCCCUCAGGUUAGAAGGACAGGGUUUGGGAAAAGCGUCAGGCGGACUUGGUUAGACUGUUUACAUUGACAGGUCUGAGUUGCCCGGCACGUCCCCGUCCCAGGCAGCCACGGAUGGGCCCGAGGACCCAGGGCCAUGGGGCUCCUGUCCCUCUGAGCGAGGCUUCUCUCUGGGAUCCUCCUCCCUUGGCCCUGGGCCUGCAGGAUGGGCCUCGCCCGCACUUCCCAGCACUUGCUGCCCUUGAGCGGCACCCAGGGUGGGAGCCAGGCCACCCGGGCAGGCCCAGGAGGCCGGUAGAGCGGUGGCCCGGGGCCCGGCUCUGCAGCACUCUGAAGUCACCUGAGCAAGCAUCACUGGAGACCUGGCCCUGCCGGCAGGUGUCCUGGCUGCUCACCAGGGCCCUGUCUCCAUCCACAAACCCUGUGGUGCAGAGGGCGGUCUGUGGACUCAGUGGGGGCCGUCUGGGGGCCGAUGAGGACUGCGCCUCGGUGGGAUGGGCGCAGUGGGGGUGCAGCGGGAGGGGCUCCGGGAAGCGGGGGCCAGAGCCACGUCCUGGAGCCAGGCCGACGCAGGCCACUGCUCGCUGACAGAGGAACAGAUGCUUCUGGGGCCGUGGUUUGGGUUAAGUGUGGCGCUUUUCCUUUAACCUUAUUGCAAAAUAAUACGGGCUCCUCACAGGAACCGCCCCCCCCCACCUGUUGCUCCAAAAUGGUCACGUGUUGUCCAUUUUCAUUAGGGACACGAUGCGGAGCGUUUCCGCCCUUGGCUUCGGCCCCCGAGGUGACCGCACCGUGGGUGUUGCAUGCACUUCAGAUUCUGUCAUCGUUUCCUCUGCUUGCACAUUCCUUUUGAACAAGGGAGGUUUAUCCCUGCGGCCGGGUGGGCGUAGCACCCUGUCCUUAGCGCCCGCCCCCUGCCCUGCCAGGCCCUGCCAGGCCCUGCCUCUAGGCGCCCUUCCUCUGCUCUUGGGCUUCUUCCUCCCAGGGUCUGGCCGGUAACUAUUUAGAAAGUGAAGAAAAACCCUUAACAGCUGACCUCCGCUUCCUCUUCGGGAAAGGAGCACACUUUGGUGGUGGCGGCUGCAGGUGGCUCGGCCUGGCCAGGGAGGCCUGGCGGGCGCGUGCAGAGGCUCAGAGUGGGAGGCCGGGUCGCAGCCGUGGGGGGCGAGGAUGCCUGGGUGGAUGGUGGAUUUGAGCUUCUUUGUGCAGCUCCACGGCCCCAGGUCUCGGGUGAACUCUGCCCCCUGCUCCCCUGCAUGCGCCCCAUCCCCUUCCCUUUGCUGACUGGGAGCAGGCUUUGUCGGUUUUCCAGCCCCUGAGUCUUGUCUUCACGGCGACUGUGCUGUUUCCUUAAUGAAAUCCAAAAAUUUAAAAGCGUCCCCUUAAAAAACCCAAGCUCUCUGGCCGCUAGUCAACUCCCAAGUGCCUGCGGCUGUCUCACGCUAUAUCUCAGCCCCGCUGGGCGGCCAGGCUGCCUGUGGCUGUGGUCCUCGGGGCCCUGGCCCCGCUCCCGGGCCUCGGCUUGGGCUGGCGUGCGUGCGGCCCUCCCGCCUGCUGGGCGCUGUCCCGGGCUUGGUCUUUAGAUCUG